rnacentral:lncRNA from 1 species
AACCAUUUUUCCUUCUUUUUUCCUUUUUUUUUCUUUUUUUCUUUUUUUCCUCUCUUUUUUCUUUUUCUCCUGGGCUAGCCUGUUGGGCUGUUGGCUUGGGCUUGGCCUGCUGGUGUGGGUGGCCUGCUACUGUGCUGGGCCUACACUUGGGCUGCUAAAAAUGGCCUGCUAUUUUUUUCUUUUUCUGCUUUGUUUUUUUUUGGGCCGGCCUGCUACUGCUGGGCCUGCUGCGGGCUGUUGGGUCGGGUUGGGUCGGGUCGGGAUGACCCGACUAUUUUAAUAUAAUUUAUUUUUCUAUUUCUUUUUUUCUUUUUUUCUUUCUUUUUCUUCUUCUUCUUCCUCCUUCUUCUUCUUCUAGCCGCGCCGUCGCUUUCUUCUCGUCGCUACCACUACGUCGCUGCUUCCUCCGCCACUGGUACUCCCUCUUUUCUCUUCCUCUUUCUCUUUCCUCCUCUUUUCUUCUCUUUUUUCGAAAAAGCUCUCUUUUUUUAUUUUUUUC